GACGCACUAAUCUGGGGGUGAGGAAAGAGCUCAAGCAGGAGCGCGGAAGGUUACAUAAUGCUCAGAUGAGGCUUGGACGUGUCUGUGUAAUGAGAGCGUUUAUUAAAGCGCAUCGUAUCUUCUUCUGCGAUGCGGCGUUAUGUGACGUGACUCACGCGUUCUGACUUCUGAGAUUACCGCCGAUGUUUCCUUCCGCUGGACUCUUCUCUGAAACUGACUGUCCUUUCCUCACUUUGGGCGGAUGUGAGCGACCUUACUGUCCCUACAAACACGUCAAAGAAGAAGAAAAUACAGGUGUGUGCGCCGGAAGUGCGCGCGCAGCACCUGAAAAAGGUCAUGGCAAUCAUAAUGCUGCUAGUAGAACCUUCCACAACCACGAACAGAGCCAAACUUGUCUUUCAGAGCUGGAAAGGAUCAACAAACAGAUUGAAGCAGUUAGAAAUGAAGUGGAGAAAGAACAAAAAAGACUGUCCCGCUACCAGUCUGAGCAGGCUGAGAGUGCUGGUGUUAGCUCAGAAGAAUAUUUUGUAACCAGAAAAACUCGGUCUAAAGACCAGAAUGGAAACCAGCUGAAAUGUAAAAAGGCCACUCCUGCUGCCCGCAAAUACGUUGUUGAUCGCACCAAACCAAAAACUGAUCUGGAAUAUGACCCUUGUUCAAAUUUUUCUGCUGACCUGCGAUCUGGCAGCUCAACAGAUAAAAUGAAGUCAACCAAUAAAGCUGAUGUGGAACGUGAUCAGCGGGACAAAGGAAAGGGUAAGAGUAUUUCUGCAGAUCCAAUUCUUGUUCCUUCUUGCAAUUUUGAGGAUUCUGAUGAGGAGGGGGAACUAGUCAUUGACAUUCCACCUUUUGAAAAUGAUGGGAACAAGAGAUCUCAGAUACAAAGCUCAUCACCCAGUGAAAAUGCAGAUUUUAUAAAGAUAACCAGGGAAUCUUCAGAAAUGGCCCCUCUUGAUACUGACAUGCCACUGCUAGAAAAGAAAGCAGAAAAGAUUAGGCCAGCAAAGAAGGACAUGACUAGCAUCAAUGAACAACAGGAGUCACUCAAGUCCUUGUAUAAGGAGACUAAUGUGGUAAAACCAAGACACUCCAUACCACAAAGGGAAAAAAUGCCUUCUGAAGGAGUACUUGCUGUCAGAAGUAUACCUAUUGAAGGUGAACAAAAACCCUCAGUUCAUCCCAGGAUGGCCAAGGAAGAACCUGAAUUGUCCAAGAGGAUGAUGGAGAUUGAUGCCUUACCUGCAGAAAAUAACGAAGUGCUUCAUAAGAGCUUGAAACAAAACUUGGCUGCUUCCAAGAAUGACAAAUGCAAGGAGGAGAUCUUGAACUAUGCGACUAAAAAUUCUCCAGAAUUGCAUGAAAAUACAAGGUCCUUUUCAGUGUCAGAUUUUUCACAGGUUGGCCAACUGGAAAAACUUAUACCUGCAAACAGUAUGAACGCUGGUGUUUAUCAAGAGAAAGCACAAAAUAUUGAAAAUGUUCUAGACGAUAUUUCCAUUUGCCUGGACCACCUGAGGCGGGAAAGUGAGAGCAUUGCUUGCCUUCAAGAUGUGGAUGCUAGCCUCCUUGACACUAUCCCUUCUGCUCCCAGUUGCUCAAAGAUACAUGGAGAUCAUUCUUUACAGCCUGUCACACAAAGGCUGCAAAGGCGAACAGAACCUGAGGUACAACCAAAUAACUGGCUCUCAGGUCACAUUAAAAAAAUGGACACCUUGCCCCUUGGACAGUCAUCAGAGAACACACAAAAGACAUCAGUGUUUCAAGAUUACCUUCCCACCACUUCCUCUUUCCAAGCCAUAACUAAGGAUCCUGGAUCUUGUCAGAACACUCCAGCCUCUGCUGACACAAAUUGGCCAUUUGCCCAGAAAGUCCCAGCGGAACCCGUUGUUCAGAACGUACCUCUGUACGUUUCUGGAACCAGCACCGCAAUGGUUCCUUCUCCACAUACAGAGCUAAACCCAGCCGCUACAUCUGUGGAUUUGCCUGGGUGUCAGAUCCUGCAGAAACCACCUGCUCUGCUGGGUGCGACAGAUAAGAUAGCAGUUGACUCUAGUUCUUCAGACGAGCUCAAUUAUUCAGACCUAGACCUUUCAGAGAGUGAUCCAAUGGAAGAGUGCUACAGAAUCUUUAUGGAAGCCAACAAGGCUGAAGAUCCCACCGUUCAAGGUGACAUGCCAGAAGAGGUUUCAAAGAUGUCUGAGGCUGAGAUGGUCAAGCCAGUUCUUGCUCAGAAAAAGAGAGUAGCCCAUGUAGCAAAGUUUGAGCAGGUCAGUAAAAACAAAGCACAGGUCAUCGUGCCCCUUAGAGAUGGCGGUUUCCAGCUGCCUGUGCCCAGCCAGAGUCAGCAGUGUCAGAAGAGAGCAACAUCUAUUACAGCAGCAGUGAAAGGGUGCCAAUCCUUUAUUGCAGCCAAUGCAGCCAAGCGAGUCCUCACACCUACUGUCAUUCAUCCAACUGCUGUGCCAAACAACUGUGUGAACAUCCUCCCGGUUGGAGCGACCUUGCGAAUUGGCCCAAACCUUCACCUGAUUGUCCCUGAAGGGAGCUGUGCUUUACCGGUCACACUAAUUCCUGCUGCUGCUGUGCCUGCAGCACGUCCAGUUCAUCAGCCAGCUCCAAUCCCACAGCCUGCACAGCCUGCACAACCAACCAACUACACACCUGCCAAGUCAAUUCCCACUAAGCGCAAAGCGAGAGGACGUGCAGAGGUUGGCGUAAAGGUUCCUCAUGAUGUACGGCAGCGGUAUGUAAAUCUGUUCGUGGAGGAGUUCCUGAAAACAUCAGCCACUGUGCAAGAUGCCUUUGAAAAGGCACUAGCAGAAGAGAAGACUGUGUUUGAUCGCAGCAUCAAUAAACUGAAGUAUCUAAGCAUAGCAGUGAAUGCACUCAAGAGGCUUAAAAAUCAAAAUGCAGCUCCUGCCAAAUUUUCCAGUGAAAGAGAUGCACAAGCGUCUAGAGGAAAUGUGCCACUCAAUACUCAAGCACUCCUGCAAAAUGGUGACACCACACUCUACAAUCAGCUGAAGGAGCAUAUUCUAACCAAGGCCCUGUUGAGGGAGAAUAACUAUCCUCACAAACACCCCGAUAAAGCUGGCUUUGCCAUUCAGUAUGGUGACGCCAAAAAGGGCAGCACUGAUGUUUUCAGGAGAAUCUGCUGUCGCUGUGGAACUUCUUUCUCCAUUAGCCAGACAGGAAAGCACACUCGCAAAGAAGAGUGCAACUAUCAUUAUGGGAAAGUCAUGGAAAACAGAGUACCAGGAGGAGUGGAGACACGCUACAGCUGCUGUGAGAACGCAGUCGGAUCACCUGGGUGCCAAGUGUUCAAGCUCCAUGUCCAUGAUGCAGUGAGUCUCCAAGGCUUUGUAAGUAGCCUCCCUCAGACUCAGACUCCCUCAAACCCAGGGAUUUACGCUAUUGAUACUGAAAUGUGCUAUACCACUCAGGGUCUGGAACUGGUGAGAGUCACGGUGGUGAACAGCAGUCUGCAGGUCAUCUACGACACCUUUGUUAAGCCUACCAAUGAAGUCAUUGACUACAACACCAGGUUCUCAGGAGUCAGUGAGGAUGAUGUGAAGAACUGCAGUUCAUCUUUGCGAGAUGUGCAAGCUGUGCUUUUGAGCUUCAUCAACGAGAGAACCAUUCUGGUUGGGCAUGGUUUGGAAAAUGAUCUCUGUGCUCUGAAACUUAUCCACAGCACGGUGGUCGACACGUCCGUGGUGUUCCCCCAUCGCCUGGGUCCGCCGCGCAAGAGAGAGCUCAGAAGCUUGACGGCUGAGUAUCUGAGGAAGAUAAUCCAAGAGAGCGUGGAGGGACAUGACACCCAAGAGGACGCGAUGGCGUGCAUGGAGCUCAUGCUGUGGAAGGUGAAAGAGGAUGCUAAAGGGAAGAGAUGGUGACCUCGGGAAGAAGAACUCUCAUCAUUGCCCUAAUGUGCACUGCUGUAUUAUUGCAAAAUUGCACUUGAAGCUUGCUUUAUUAUAACAAUCCUCACCUGCUGUCUGUAUUAGGGUUGCUGGGAAUGGAAGCAUAGAAAUGAUUAAUUGUUCAUACAUUAUUCAUUUUUACACCUUUCAUUUUGUUGAUUAUUCACUUUCAGAAAGUAGCGUACCUUUCUUUGUCAGUGGGGUGGUAGUCUUAUCGUCUGUAAUCGUUUGUACAGUUUAGUAUAUUACAGCUGGAAAUGUGGAAAUAGUGUACAUAGUGACAUAAAAUGACUUAAGGUACAUAAUAUAAUACUGUACUGUAAUUAACCUUUAGAUUAAAUCUUUCUAAGAUAAAUACUAAAUAUACAAAAGGUGUAGGCUUAAGGGGACCACUUCAGCAACAAGGAAAAGUACAGUUUCUUUAUCUUUUUUUUUUUUUUUUUUUUCCUGAGAGUGUUGAACACCAGACAUUUUGUUUUGUGAAGUGUUUUUGAAAUAAACUGGUUCACAAUUGCACUAUGGGAGAAAAAGUAUACUUGUGCACUCUGGGAUGAUGGAAAAGAAAGUAAAGGCACUGCAAAGAUCUGCGGUUGUGUGAAUUCUUUAAAAAAUAUAAUCAGUACUGCCAUUUUAGCAGCCCUGCUACAUUGUUAACUAAUUAGCUGAUUCUUUAAUUAGUUAAUUGGCUUCAAAUUCUUUCAGUGUCUGACCCAGUCAUGCCUCUGCCUAACAUCAUUGAUUAACUUUCUUUAAACGCGCAUUCAAUUAGCUACACUUAAUUUGCAACUAAAUUAACAUUGAUUAAGGUUAUGGAGUAAUGCACACGUGACUGUGAAUGGCUCUUUACCAAUUCCUCCUUCUCUUUGUUGAGCAUUUGGAUGUUUGUGGUCAGGAAAGUGCUAAUUGCUAAUUUGGUAUCUCAGUUUUGGGAGCCGCCAUCUUGGACGACUUGUGCUGUUUGCUGAAGUGUGUCGUCGUUUGGCAAAUUAAACUUGAAAGUACUUUGGUUCACGUUUACAGUUUAAAUUUAUGAGGUAUUUACUCCUGGGUUAAUGAGCUAACGCGAGGUUUAAAUCGGUUUUAACGAGAUAAUGACGGAGGAUCAAUAAAUAAACAGUUUCUACCGGAUCCAGGUGCUAAUUUACUUUAUACAGUUUGAGGUUUGGAGACAAACUGAGGAACGUGGCAUGGCAUAGGACUGAUACAAGCUAAAGAUUUAUCGUGAAUGACUCAAAAUGAGGCAGAAUUCAGUCCCGACACACACUGUAGCUCAGCGUUUGAUGGGUAAGAGCUUCAUUUGAAGAUCACCUUAACAGCAGAGCUACCAAUGCAAAAGGUCUGGGAGGUUACAGCACAGCCAGUCGGAGUUUAUUUUAUGGUCUCUGGUUGUGCUGCAGUGAAACAGAGUGAUUUCAGUCUGACAGAAGAAACUCAGUCUGACUGGUUCUGUUAUAUCAUCUGUCUGGAACUUACUAUGCUACUGUGGAAAUUAUACCAUACUACUAUUCUAUUUUUUUUUCCACUUUUCCUUCUACUGAUAUUGUAGUUUUGUAUUUGGCUUGUCGCUUUCUCCCCUGGUUUCCUCGUAACUCCCAAAAACUUGCUGGGAGGUGGACGGGUGACUCUAUAUUGCCUCUAGGUGUGAAUGUGUGUAUUUGUGUGUUACAAUGUAAUGGACUCAUGUCCCAUCCAAGGUGUGUUCCUGCCUUGUGCCCAGUGUUCCUGGGAUAGGCUCUAGAUUCAAUGCGACCCUGACCAUGAUGAAGCACUUACUGAACAUUAAUGAAUGUCUUACACCUUUUCCAUUUGAACAGAACUUAAUUAAAUUUACUAUUUAUUAAUUACUAUAAAAGGUUGCGAUACUAUUUAUCCACACGAGGCAAGUGGUUGCACAUUUACAAAGGCACAUUACAUCAUCUGAUUUAUGUUUAUUCAUUUGACAGAUGCUUUUAUCUAGGAGUUUUAGUGUGAAGCUGAACUAUAUGUGCCAAUUGUUGAAAUACUCUCCAUUGUCAUGAUGAAGUGAUAUUAUCUGUCUGUGCCACUGCUGCUGGUUUCAGCUGUUUGCCCCUUACUGGACAAAGCUUUUAAUCCUCUAGAUGUACAAAAAGUACACAGGUGACUAUAACUUUCACAUGCUAAGAACUAUUAUCAUAUGAAAAGACCCAUGAGAAUUCAAUCAAUUUCUAUCACUUUUCACAUAGGAGGUUACAAUAAAAUGUUGGAAUACUAAUUGUUUUAAUUAAUUUAGUUUUUUAAUAAUUAAUUAUACACUAUAAUAAAAUGUAACUUAAUGUGACAUUUCCAUCACAGUCUCAUGAACCCCCUGUAAUGCCACCAUGAAAACCUGGUUGGAAAACUCUAACAUUUGUAGUUGAGAGAUUUGAACUUGCAACCUUCUAUUCACCAGCACAGAGCCACAACAGCUAAGAUGUAUGUUUCAGAUUUUUAUUUCCCCACUGUACAGAUGUACAGUCCCCUUGUUUGGAAUGGCAAGGCCAAUUCUAUUGUUUUUGCUAUACAAUAAAGACAUUUUGGUUUGAGAUCAAAGGAUGAAUAUGAGACAAUAGAUCAGAAUUUCAGUUUUCAUUUCCUGAUAUUUACAUCUAAAUGUGUUUUAAAAAAACAAAAAAAAACAAAAACAAAC